rnacentral:tRNA from 1 species
GGGAGUGUAACUCAGCGGGGCGGCAUGAGCCAGCAAUGGUUGAUUGCGCGCUACAGAGUGCGUCGCUGAAGACGACGAAGUCCUGGGUUCAAAUCCCAGCACUCCCA